rnacentral:rRNA from 1 species
UACGUAGGGUGCAAGCGUUAAUCGGAAUUACUGGGCGUAAAGCGUGCGCAGGCGGUUAUAUAAGACAGAUGUGAAAUCCCCGGGCUCAACCUGGGAACUGCAUUUGUGACUGUGUAGCUAGAGUACGGCAGAGGGGGAUGGAAUUCCGCGUGUAGCAGUGAAAUGCGUAGAUAUGCGGAGGAACACCGAUGGCGAAGUCAAUCCCCUGGGCCUGUACUGACGCUCAUGCACGAAAGCGUGGGGAGCAAACAGG